GAACUCACUGCUCAGCACUGAGUUACAGAGUGUGAGGAGGGCUGUGAAGGAAACGGGCAGGUCCUGGUGAGAAGACAAAGAUAUAAGUCAUUUAGCUGGGCAUCAUGGUGCAUGCCUGCAGUCCUAGCUACUCGGGAGGCCGAGGCAGGAGGAUCACUUGAGCCCAGGAGUUCCAGGCUGCAGUGAGCUAUGAUUGCACCACCGCACUCUAACCUGGGUGACAGAGCGAGACCUUGUCUCUUAAAAAUAAAAAAGCCAUGCAGGGGGAACAGCCGCGGAAAAGCUUCGAGGUGGCAAAGAGCCGGGAGAGUUCUGUGUGACUGCAGCUUGGCAGGGGAUCCAGGAGAGGCUGGAGGCCCAACAGGCCGGACCAGGAAGUGCCAGGUAUGACAUAAUGUGGCCUUGGUCUCUCAGGAGUCCAGAGGGCAAGCCUGGCGAGAUGACCCUUGGGUUCCAGCAGGACUGAGCCCUCUGCCAGCCAACGUUUUCCUAUUCAUUCCAGUGGCCCCAGCCCUCCCUGUCGGCUGCCAGGAAUGUGUCACUCCUGCUUCGGGGUCCCUGCUGCCCCCUGCCCCACUCAGAAAGAUCCCUUGGGGCUGGUUGGGGAGGCAGCCUCCCCCUCCUCCUCUCCCUGAGCUCUGCUCAGAAUAAAAGCUCCCGGGGUCCUGGCUGAGGAUGCUGUGCCCUCGCCCAUCCGUGGCCACUGCCAGCCAUUUGCAUCACAAAUGAGGCACAGUCGUGCCGUUGGGCACCAGCCUGGUGCUACCCUCGGUGACUCAAGGACACAGGCCAGGAUCCAGCUGCUGAACGUGCUGCCUUGCCCCACCCCCAGCCGCCUAAACUGUGUCGCUGGGGAAGGAUGCCCCGGUCCCCAGCCUGCCUGGGAUCCUCCUGGCCUGGGCAGCUCUCCCCACCAGCCAGGAGAGCAACCAUCGUCGGGGUGAUAAACCCAACGCUGGGCAAGGAGCGCUCUGCAUGUCAGGUGGGAACUCAGCACUUGGCAGACAUUCUCUCUGUUAGCUUUCACGGCAGCCUGCUUUACAGAGGAGGAAACUGAGGCUCAGAGAGGGUGAGUGACGUACCCAUGGCCGCUCAGCUACUCAGCUAUACUCAGUAGAACUGGGGCUUGAACUCAUGUCAUUCUACUCUAGAAACUGUGCUGUGAGCACCGGCUGUCCCUUCCAAGGCCAUCCGUGCUUACCCUGGGCAUGCAAUAGCUGUGCUCUGGAUGAAUAAAAGUGACCAAUAGCUGCGCACUAGGUGAAUAUAAGUGACCAAGAGCUGUGCAUUGGAUGAAUAUAAGUGACCAAUAGCUGUGUGCUGGAUGAAUAUAAGUGACCAAUAGCUGUGCACUGGAUGAAUAUAAGUGACCAAUAGCUGUGUACUGGAUGAACAAGUGACCAAUAGCUGUGUGCUGGGUGAGCGAGUGACCAAUAGCUGUGCUCUGGUUGAAUAAAAUUGACCAAUAGCUACGCACUGGAUGAAUAAAAGUGACCAAUAGCUGUGCUCUGGAUGAAUAUAAGUGACCAGUAGCUGUGCUAUGGAUGAAUAUAAGUGACCAGUAGCUGUGCUAUGGAUGAAUAUAAGUGACCAAUAGCUGUGCCCUGGAUGAAUAAAAGUGACCAAUAGCUGUGUGCUGGAUGAGCAACAGUGACACAGAACGAGAAGUGAGAAGUGGAGGGAGUCGGACGGAGAGAGGCAAAGGUGGAGUAGUCAGCGUGACUCAGAGGCAGUCACUCCAACAGAACAUGAAAGAAAAGCAGAAAUGCAGGCAAGAGAGAAUGAGGGAGACAGGCAGGAGAGAGAGUGACACUGAGGUGAACAGAGAGGGGCCUGGGGACAGGGUCUCCUUCUGGGGUGACGGAAAUGUUAUGGAGUUAGAUCAUGGUGACAGUUGCACAACUUUGCAUACACACUAAAACCCACUAAAUUGUGUACUUUUGUUGAUUGAUUUGUUUUAGAGAUGGGGUCUUGCUCCGUUGCCCAGGCUGGAGUGCAGUGGUGUGAUCAUGGCUUGCUGCAGCCUCAAACUCCUGCGUUCAAGCUAUCCCUCAGCCUCCCAAGUAGCUGGUGACCACAGACACUCACCACCAUGCCUGGCUAAUUUUUUUUUGAGUUGGAGUCUGGCUUUGUUGCCCAGGCUGGAAUGCAAU
rnacentral:lncRNA from 10 species